rnacentral:rRNA from 1 species
CUUGGUCAUUUAGAGGAGUAAAAGUCGUAACAAGGUUUCCGUAGGUGAACCUAGCGGAAGGAUCAUUAUCGAAAUUAUUGGUGAGGGUUGUAGCUGGCCUUUCGAGGCAUGUGCACGCUCGAGCCCUUAAUCCACUUUACACCUGUGCACUUAAUGUAGGUCGCCCUUAAAAAAGGUGACCUAUGUCUUAUCAUCAACCCAUCGUAUGUCUCAUAGAAUGUAAUCGAUAUCCUCGCCCUGAAAAAGCGUUGAUAAACUUAUACAACUUUCAACAACGGAUCUCUUGGCUCUCGCAUCGAUGAAGAACGCAGCGAAAUGCGACAAGUAAUGUGAAUUGCAGAUUUUCAGUGAAUCAUCGAAUCUUUGAACGCACCUUGCGCUCCUUGGUAUUCCGAGGAGCAUGCCUGUUUGAGUGUCAUUAAAUUCUCAACUCCAAGGGUUUCACGACCUUUCGGAGAUUGGACUUGGAGGUGCUGGCCGCAUAUUGGUCGGCUCCUCUCAAAUGCAUCAGCGGAAUUCAACCUUUGGCUUCCGGAUGUCAGUGUGAUAAUCAUGUUGCGCUGUCGUUUGAUCCCUCAGAGUCCGCUUAUAAUGGUCUUCGGACAAAAUCAUCAUCAAAUUUGACCUCAAAUCAGGUAGGACUACCCGCUGAACUUAAGCAUAUCAAUAAGCGGGAGGA